GACGAACGCUGGCGGCGUGCCUAAUACAUGCAAGUCGAACGCAGUGGGGACGGGUGAGUAACACGUGGGUAACCUCCAAUCCGCGGGGAUUACCCUUGGAAACCGGUGCUAAACCGAUAUUGAUGGUUGGACGGGCGGUGACUUAGCUAGUUGGUGAGGUAACGGGUCACCAAGGCCAGGAUGCAUAGCCGACCUGGGAGUGUGAUCCGCCAAACUGGGACUGAGACACGGCCCAGACUCCUACGGGAGGCAGCAGUAGGGAAUCUUCGGCAAUGGACGAAAGUCUGACCGAGCAACGCCGCGUGAGUGAAGAAGGUUUUCGGAUCGUAAAACUCUGGUGUUAGAGAAGCGGUAUCUAACCAGAAAGCCACGGCUAACUACGUGCCAGCAGCCGCGGUAAUAC
rnacentral:rRNA from 1 species